rnacentral:lncRNA from 1 species
UGAGGGUAAGGGCAGAACCGUGGUUAUUAUCGUGGCAGUGCCCAAUGUUGGCUGCUUUGUUUGGGGUGUGAGUUGAUGCAAAGUCAGUAACCCCUUCAGCAGCCUCCACACUGUUUGCAAAGCUCACAUUACAAAGUUCAGAUUAGCGGUAAAAGUAAUUGAACUGAACUCGGUAAGUGACCACUGGGGAAACAGUCCCAACCUGGUAACUUUUGUUAAUACUGCCAGUCCGGCAGGCAAGCAGGAUCAUUUCCAAUCACCCACCAAACCUGAGUGUCACAGCACCAGUCUGUAACCUCAGCACUCGGGAGACUGAGGCAGGAGGAUUCCUAUGAGUUUGAAGAUGGCUUGAGCAGCAUAGUGGAAGCCAUCAGAAGGAGAAUAGGAAGAAGGGGAGGAAGAAGACCCUGGAAUGCUGCCCCAUGCCUUUAAUUGAGAGGCAGAGGCAGAUGGAUCUUUGUGAGUCUGGUCUACAUAGCGUGUGUUCGAGGCCAGCCAGGGCUACACUGUGAGAGCCUGCCUCAAACAUACAAGAAAAAGAAGAGGCAGAAGAAGGAGAGGAGGAAGGAAAGGAAGAGGGAGAAGUCAUCUUGAUGUUCAUCAAACCGUGCCAGGUGCUUGGGUGAGCACCACCAUUCUCCACAGCCCUGAUUGUUGUCUGUCCUUCCUGUCGUUGAAACUGAGGUUAGGAGUCGAGCAGAGGGAAGAUUCGGACCUGGGACUCCUGACUCUUACCAAGUCUCAGGCUUGGAGACAAAUCAAGUUAGCGAUUACCAAACACUUUUGUGUGGGUGCGGAUUGGGCUACCGGACUGCCUUGAAUCUCUGCUGCUUGCGCCCCGAAAAGGAAGAGGAUCAGUACCACGUGACCACCGGCGGCAAGCUCCGUUAGGAAAAGAUGUGAAGGUUAGUGAAACAAGAUCAUACUGGAGUUUUUUAGAGAGCCUGGUGACUCAGGGAUGGCUCGGUAAAAAUACCUGUAGACUGAGGUCGUAGAAGCCGUCCUUGGUGACUAAGGUUUCACGUAUCUCAGUUUGUCAAAUUCUUUGUUAAGUGGUUCAAAACAUUGAGAAAGACCUUAGGGCCCUAACAGAAACUUUCUUCUCAAUGACACAGGAGGUCUCCGACUCUGAGUCAGUGGCCCUGGGCUCCAGAGCAAAGUAAGCAUGGGAAUGCAUGGAAUUUAUUUGUAGUUUGCAGGAAAUAAAGUGUUAUUGUUAGGGACGUUUCCUGUCA